rnacentral:rRNA from 1 species
UACGUAGGUGGCAAGCGUUGUCCGGAAUUAUUGGGCGUAAAGCGCGCGCAGGCGGCCUUUUAAGUCUGCUGUGAAAGCCCACGGCUCAACCGUGGAAGGUCAUUGGAAACUGGGGGACUUGAGUACAGAAGAGAAGAGUGGAAUUCCACGUGUAGCGGUGAAAUGCGUAGAGAUGUGGAGGAACACCAGUGGCGAAGGCGACUCUUUGGUCUGUAACUGACGCUGAGGCGCGAAAGCGUGGGGAGCAAACAGG